rnacentral:rRNA from 1 species
AUGUUCAGUUCUCACAACGACAUCAACGUGCUUCAACGAUCUCCGGUGUCUAGGAGGCUUUGCAAUGCGGAAUCACUAUCGUGCAACUACACCGUCAACGGCCGGGACUACAACAUGGGGUACUAUCUUGCCGAUGGUAUCUAUCCUCAGUGGACGGCGUUUGUGAAGACCAUAUCCGAGCCGUGUGGCAAUAAACAGAGCCACUUUGCAACAAUGCAGGAAAGCGGUUGGAAGGAUGUGGAGAGGGCAUUUGGUGUGCUUCAAGCUUGUUGGGGAAUUGUGCGGAGCGCUGCAAUGAUGUGGAAAUCAAAAAACUUUGUGGCAGCUGAUGACAUGUUGUGUUAUUUUGCACAAUCUGAUUGUCGAGGAUGA